rnacentral:rRNA from 1 species
CAGUAGCCGCGGGAACACGAAGGGUGCAAGCGUUAAUCGGAAUUACUGGGCGUAAAGCGUGCGUAGGCGGUUUGUUAAGUCUGUUGUGAAAUCCCCGGGCUCAACCUGGGAAUGGCAAUGGAUACUGGCAAGCUAGAGUGUGUCAGAGGAUGGUGGAAUUCCCGGUGUAGCGGUGAAAUGCGUAGAGAUCGGGAGGAACAUCAGUGGCGAAGGCGGCCAUCUGGGACAACACUGACGCUGAGGCACGAAAGCGUGGGGAGCAAACAGGAUUAGAUACCCGUGUAGUCCCUGUCUCUUAUAC